rnacentral:rRNA from 1 species
GAUAGCUGGUUCUCCCCGAAAUAGCUUUAGGGCUAGCGUCGGAAAGAACCUUAGUGAAGGUAGAGCACUGAAUGUGUGAUGGCCCCAUCCCGGGGUACUGAAUACAAUCAAACUGCGAAUGUCAUUAAGGAUGUCCGGCAGUCAGACUGUGAGUGAUAAGGUCCAUGGUCAAGAGGGAAACAGCCCAGACCGCCAGUUAAGGUCCCAAAAUACAGGCUAAGUGGAAAAGGAUGUGGGGAUGCCCAGACAACUAGGAGGUUGGCUCAGAAGCAGCCAUCCUUUAAAGAGUGCGUAACAGCUCACUAGUCGAGUGACCCUGCGCCGAAAAUGUACCGGGGCUAAGCCUGAUACCGAAACUGCGGAUUGUAGGAAACUAUAGUGGUAGGGGAGCGUUGUAUACGAGCAGAAGCCGUACCGUGAGGAGCGGUGGAUUGUAUAGAAGUGAGAAUGCCGGUGUGAGUAGCGAGAUGUAGGUGAGAAUCCUACACACCGAAAGCCCAAGGAUUCCAGGGGAAGGUUCGUCCGCCCUGGGUAAGUCGGGACCUAACGCGAGGCCGAAAGGCGUAGUGGAUGGAAAGCAGGCGAAAGAUUCCUGCACCCGUAUAUGGAGCGAAGGAGUGACGGAGACGGAUAGUGUGACCCUCUUAAUGGAUUGAGGGCGAAGCGAAGCGGCUGGUUACCAGGCAAAUCCGGUAACCAAAAGGCUAGAGCGUGACAGGUAAGCGAAAUCUUCGGAAAGUAGCGAAGCACAUGAUGACGGCUUCCAGGAAAAGCUUCUGGCAAUGCAUAUGCGGCCCGUACCAAAACCGACACAGGUGGGCAGGGAGAGAAUCCCGAGGUGAGCGAGAGAACUGUUGCCAAGGAACUCGGCAAAAUGACUCCGUAAGUUAGCGAGAAGGAGUGCUUAAGCAAUUAAGCCGCAGUGAAGAGGCCCAAGCGACUGUUUAACUAAAACACAGCUCUCUGCGAAGUCGCAAGACGAAGUAUAGGGGGUGACACCUGCCCGGUGCUGGAAGGUUAAGAGGAUCUGUUAAGAGCGAUCUGAAGCAGUGAUCCGAAGCCCCAGUGAACGGCGGCCGUAACUAUAACGGUCCUAAGGUAGCGAAAUUCCUUGUCAGGUAAGUUCUGACCCGCACGAAAGGUGUAACGAUUUGGGCGCUGUCUCGGCAGCAGACUCGGUGAAAUCUUAGUACCUGUGAAAAUGCAGGUUACCCGCAACUAGACGGAAAGACCCCAUGGAGCUUUACUGCAGCCUGAUAUUGAAUUCUGGUCAUACAUGUACAGGAUAGGUGGGAGACAAAGAGACGUGCACGCCAGUGUACGAGGAGUCGACGUUGGGAUACCACUCUUGUGUGACCGGGGUUCUAACCUGGUAUCGAGAACAGGUACGGGGAGAGUGUCAGGUGGGCAGUUUGACUGGGGCGGUCGCCUCCCAAAGAGUAACGGAGGCGCCCAAAGGUACGCUCAGAUUGGAUGGAAACCAAUCGUCGAGUGCAAUUGCAGAAGCGUGCUUGACUGUGAGACAGACAAGUCGAACAGGGACGAAAGUCGGGAAUAGUGAUCCGGCGGUGCCGAAUGGAAGGGCCGUCGCUCAACGGAUAAAAGCUACCCUGGGGAUAACAGGCUGAUCUCGCCCAAGAGUUCACAUCGACGGCGAGGUUUGGCACCUCGAUGUCGGCUCAUCGCAUCCUGGAGCUGGAUUCGGUUCCAAGGGUUGGGCUGUCCGCCCAUUAAAGCGGUACGCGAGCUGGGUUCAGAACGUCGUGAGACAGUUCGGUCCCUAUCUGUUGUGGGCGAAGGAGAUCUGCGGAGAGCUGUCCUCAGUACGAGAGGACCGGGAUGGACCUACCGCUGGUGCACCGGUUGUUCCGCCAGGGGCAUAGCCGGGUAGCUAAGUAGGGAAAGGAUAAGCGCUGAAAGCAUCUAAGCACGAAGCCUACUCCAAGAUGAGAUCUCCCAUUCG